AAGGGCUGUACAACAGCAGUCUGACCAUUCUGAGUGUCUGUCAUAACUAUGUAUUUGCAGGGGGGUUGAAGAUAAUGGAAUGGUGUAUACAGAUACCCAAUUUAUGGCAGGUGCACACAAAGGAGGAUGGAAUAAAUUACUGAAUUCACUAAAUUUGAGCCUCUGUGGAGUUAAAUUUCUGUUGUUCUGAUGCCUACUACACGUUCUGUCACCCUUUUCAGUGCUUAACUUAAAGGGUGCAGAAGAUAGACUGCUGUUAGGUUUUGUGAAUGCUGGAACAAGUACUUCAUGGAACUAAUACUUCUCUGGAGGGUGGGGUGGCUUUCUAGCACAGUGCAACUCCAUCAGCAAACUCAGUCCUGGAGCAGGGGGAAGCAACAGCAGUUGUUGCACUGGUGCAACAGGAUUUGAAGAUUCUUUGUAUAAACCACAGUGACGGGAUGUUUUGAACAGGACCCGUUUGUUCUGCACUUAACUCUGAUUCAGAUGUAAUGCAUCCUUGCCUUCCUUGGGUUUUCGUUGCGUAACAGAAUAGCAUGUGCAUUCCUGAAACAAUUGGUGGAAUUCUGCAGCACAUCUCUCCAUCAUGAGCGUACCUGCCGGCCCCAUCUGAAACAAAAAUGAGAAGAAACUACAGUAAUAGAAGAAAAGCAGUUAGAAUUGUUGUCUGGAUCCUACACAUUUUUUCAAUGGCUGGGUUGGUUUUAUUGCUGUGUGCAAAACUACGAUUCUUAUCCAUCCUUUCCUUCAUUUACUUUUUAGCCUGCUUACCAUUUUUCAGGUAAGGGAUAUCCUGUAUCCCUGUUGUGGGAGAAACAGCCAAAACCGGGGAGGCUGGAGAGAGCAAAAGCCUUUGGGAAACAAAUUAAGUGAUAUUUAAAAUUUCCUCUAUUCAUGCUUCUUUGUAAAUACCCCCAUUUGAAUGCUGUGUAUUUGUACAGGAAAUUGAGCAAAAAAUGUAUAGAUUGUGACGUCCGACUGGUAUUCUGCCCUGUAAAUGUGUUUUUAACCUCUGGCAUUCUGUGCUUAUUUAAAAAAGGCAAAAACCUCUAACCACUUCUCUUUUGUGUAUUCAUGUUUAAAAUAAAAUCAGAACAGCUAUCUUAUCUAUAAUGGAAAUCAAAUUGAAAAGGAAAAAAAUAAUUUGUACAAGUGUCCUAAAGGUACUUCAUUGUAUAUAUUGUGAUAGCAUGUUUCCAGAAUCAACAAAUAAGUGGUGUGAAUUUUAGAUGUAAAUAUCUGCUGUUUGUUUUGGGUUUCUUUCCCUUACCCAUUCACUCGACUGCUGUGAUGUGAAAUUAAAGAUUAAUACCUGAUAUU
rnacentral:lncRNA from 1 species